AUAGGGAAUGACUUUUUUCCC
ensembl:piRNA 21ur-3445 ncRNA